CUUGGAAGCAGCCAUUCAUUUAAAGAGUGCGUAACAGCUCACUAGUCGAGCGGUUGUGCGUGGAUAAUAAUCGGGCAUAAACAUAUCACCGAAGCUAUGGUCCCGAUCGAGAGAUCGGGAGGUAGGGGAGCAUUCCAGUCGGCGUAGAAGGUUUGCUGUAAGGCAGGCUGGAGCGUCUGGAAAAGAAAAUGUAGGCAUAAGUAACGAUAAGACAGGUGAGAAACCUGUCCACCGAAAGACUAAGGUUUCCUGAUCAACGUUAAUCGGAUCAGGGUUAGUCGGGACCUAAGGUUAACCCGAAAGGGGAUUACCGAUGGACAACUGGUUAAUAUUCCAGUACCAGCGCAUGUUGCGAUGGAGAGACGGAGGAGUGAAAGGAUCGCCCGGUGACGGAAUACCGGGUUAAAGGGUGUAGCUAGAUCGUAAGGUUAAUAGCUUAACGAUGGUGAACCUGAUAGUACCACGAGGCUUCGGCUGAAUGGAUAGUGUCCCUAAACAGACUUCCAAGAAAAACUUCUAAGCUUCAGACAUGCGGUGCCCGUACCCCAAACCGACACAGGUAGUCGAGGAGAGAAUCCUAAGGUGCUCGAGUGAUCCGUGGCUAAGGAACUAGGCAAAUUAGACCUGUAACUUAGGGAAAAAGGUCUCCCGCUGUAAGGCGGGACGCAGAUAAAUAGCCCAGGCGACUGUUUAACAAAAACACAAGGCUUUGCGAAAUUGAAAGAUGAAGUAUAAGGCCUGACACCUGCCCGGUGCCGGAAGGUUAAGAGGGGGGGUUAUCAUUAGUAAUAGUGAGAAGCUCUGAAUUGAAGCCCCGGUAAACGGCGGCCGUAACUAUAACGGUCCUAAGGUAGCGAAAUUCCUUGUCGGGUAAGUUCCGACCUGCACGAAUGGUGUAACGAUCUGGGCACUGUCUCAGCCACGAGCUCGGUGAAAUUGUAGUUCCGGUGAAGAUGCCGGAUACCCGCAACGGGACGGAAAGACCCCGUGAACCUUUACUAUAGCUUAACAUUGAUUUUGGGUAAGUGAUGUGUAGGAUAGGUCGGAGACUUUGAACCGGCUUCGCUAGGAGUCGGGGAGUCAACCUUGAAAUACGACCCUUUAUUUACCUGGAAUCUAAUCCCGCGGAAGUGGGAGACAUUGUUUGGUGGGUAGUUUGACUGGGGUGGUCGCCUCCAAAAGAGUAACGGAGGCUCCUCAAGGUGCCCUCAGCACGAUUGGUAACCGUGCGGAGAGUGUAAUGGCACAAGGGAGCUUGACUGUGAGACUGACAAGUCGAUCAGGUACGAAAGUAGAGCAUAGUGAUCCGGUGGUUCCGUAUGGAAGGGCCAUCGCUCAAAGGAUAAAAGGU
rnacentral:rRNA from 1 species